rnacentral:rRNA from 1 species
UACGUAGGGUGCAAGCGUUGUCCGGAAUUAUUGGGCGUAAAGAGCGCGUAGGCGGUCUGAUAAGUCAGGUGUGAAAUCCCCCGGCUCAACCGGGGAACUGCACCUGAUACUGUUGGGCUUGAGUGCAGGAGGGGAGAGCGGAAUUCCUGGUGGAGCGGUGAAAUGCGUAGAUAUCAGGAGGAACGCCGGCGGCGAAAGCGGCUCUCUGGCCUGUUACUGACGCUGAGGCGCGAAAGCUAGGGGAGCAAACGGG